AUAUAUAUAUAUAUAUAUUUUUUUUUACUGGGUAGUCGUUACUCGAAAAUGAUGAUGCAUGAAAUAAUUGCACUCGAAUUUUUGUUCUCUGUAUCCCACCCAUUUCAUUCACCCACGUUAUAUUACAAAAUAUCUUUUUGUAGUCUCUCUUUAUAUUACUUAACCUAACAUUUUCAUAUUCCUUCUCAAAUGUAUCAUCUUGUUACAGCAGAGCGCAACGCAUCCUAGAAAAAACCUCUUGAAAUCUCCCACUCCAAUCUCCCUACGCUGCAUAGAAACAUAGAAAAUUAGUUCGUUGUGAAAAAUUGAGACAGGUGCAGGUGCAACGGAAGCUGUAUGCAACAGAGUACACGAAGCUGACUAAGCAGGUGCUUCUGGGCCCGCGUAUGCGAUACUUGCCUUUUGGUACGAAAGGGUGAAGGAGAAGAAGAAGCGGGGUUGAUAGUGUGGUAAACCAAGAGGAAAGGACAAACCAAUCCAGAGGGAGGCCGUACUACGACGUAGUACUCCAGUGGGAUCAGGGUUCAAAGCCCGGUCAACACCAUGUCUAUGGUUCUUUCUCCUACUACCUUUCUCUUUCUCUCCAUCGCGCUUUCCCCCUCUCUUCCCAAGCUUCCCCCACCCCGAUCUCUCGUUGUACCUCGGUUAUUUCAUGACCACUACACACACGUGCUAAGCAUCACCAUGGACCUCUCUCUCUUCCUCCUCUUCCGACUGUCUCUUUCUCCGAGCAUCGUGUUGGCCGCGGUGAUUCACCAUCGGUCGGAGAUAAGGGGCCAAUGAAAGGAAACCGUAGAGGGCAGCACCGGCGAAUACGUGCCGCUCCACUUGCCAGAGGAAAGGUGAUAUCGGGUAACGAAGAUGAAAAAUCACGAAUCAGUUCCUGGGCUCCUGUUUGUCCCGUUCCUCGGUAGUUUACGAUCAUCAUUUCACCUCGGGUAGAAAGCGAAAAGUAACAUUGUCGAGAAUUUUGCCUCGAAUCGAGAACUUCAUCGUCGGAGAGAUCAUUGCUACCAGUUUACGAGCUGACAUGUGGAUUCCGGUUAGUUAAGCUUGGAACGGCAUACUUUCAGCGCGGUGUAUACAGGCCAUCCUUAAAAUAUUGGUAUAUGAUUCAGAUACGUGUCCGUAAUAACGCGUCAGGAUAUGCAUGAAAAAGUUAGUAAACAGAGAAUGAAAGUCAAUCGUAAAAUAAAUUUACGCUCUUAGACUG